CGCAGGCUUUGCGCAGCUGGGAGUGAUGCGCCUUCUUCACCUCCUUGUCGGCCAGGAUCUUCUCCAGGGCCCGGAAGGCUGUUUGUUCCCUGAAUGCCCCACAUGCGAGGAAGAACUUCAGGCAUCUGAAUACAGCCAGAGCUGCUAGCUAUUUCUAGCUCAUUAAGCACAGAAGAACCCUUUACGCUCAGCUUUUUGACUGCACUCCUUCAAUUCAGCCCAAGUGACCCAGAAACAAAGUGAAAUGAAACAAGGGAAAUGAAACAGCAAUAAAGACUGCUGAAGAGAAGUACAAAGGGAAGAGAAGUAAGCAAUUAUGGAGAUUAAAAAGACCUGCUCAGAGAAUUAACAUUU